GUUAUAUGGUCAAGCGAAUAAGCGCACACGGUGGAUGCCUAGGCGGUCAGAGGCGAUGAAGGACGUGGUAGCCUGCGAAAAGUGUCGGGGAGCUGGCAACAAGCUUUGAUCCGGCAAUAUCCGAAUGGGGAAACCCACUGCUUCGGCAGUAUCCUGCAGUGAAUUCAUAGCUGCUGGAAGCGAACCCGGUGAACUGAAAUAUCUAAGUAACCGGAGGAAAAGAAAUCAACCGAGAUUCCCUAAGUAGUGACGAGCGAACGGGGAACAGCCCUUAAGCUGGAAUGGCUUUAGAAAAACAAUCUGGAAAGAUUGGCCAUAGAAGGUGAUAGCCCUGUAUUUAAAAGGGCCACUCCAGUGAAAACGAGUAGGGCGGGGCACGUGAAACCCUGUCUGAAUAUGGGGGGACCAUCCUCCAAGGCUAAAUACUCCUGACCGACCGAUAGUGAACCAGUACCGUGAGGGAAAGGCGAAAAGAACCCCGGAGAGGGGAGUGAAAUAGAUCCUGAAACCGUGUGCGUACAAGCAGUAGGAGCUCGCAAGAGUGACUGCGUACCUUUUGUAUAAUGGGUCAGCGACUUACUGUUCGUGGCAAGCUUAACCGUAUAGGGGAGGCGAAGGGAAACCGAGUCUGAUAAGGGCGCAUAGUCGCGGGCAGUAGACCCGAAACCGGGUGAUCUAGUCAUGGCCAGGGUGAAGGUGCCGUAACAGGUACUGGAGGCCCGAACCCACGUCUGUUGCAAAAGACGGGGAUGAGCUGUGAUUAGGAGUGAAAAGCUAAUCGAACCCGGAGAUAGCUGGUUCUCCUCGAAAGCUAUUUAGGUAGCGCCUCGGACGAAUACUGCUGGGGGUAGAGCACUGUUAUGGCUAGGGGGUCAUCGCGACUUACCAAACCAUUGCAAACUCCGAAUACCAGUACGUACUAUCCGGGAGACACACGGCGGGUGCUAACGUCCGUCGUGAAAAGGGAAACAACCCAGACCCACAGCUAAGGUCCCAAAUUCACUGCUAAGUGGAAAACGAUGUGGAAAGGCAUAGACAGCCAGGAGGUUGGCUUAGAAGCAGCCACCCUUUAAAGAAAGCGUAAUAGCUCACUGGUCGAGUCGGUCUGCGCGGAAGAUUUAACGGGGCUAAGCAGUGAACCGAAGCUUGGGGUGCGUAAAACUUCGGUUUUAUGCGCGGUAGAGGAGCGUUCCGUAAGCCUGCGAAGGUGGAUUGAGAAGUCCGCUGGAGGUAUCGGAAGUGCGAAUGCUGACAUGAGUAACGAUAAUGCGGGUGAAAAGCCCGCACGCCGAAAGCCCAAGGUUUCCUUGCGCAACGUUAAUCGACGCAGGGUUAGUCGGUCCCUAAGGCGAGGGCGAAAGCCGUAGUCGAUGGGAAGCAGGUUAAUAUUCCUGCACCUCGCGUGAGUGCGAUGGAGGGACGGAGAAGGUUAGGUGUACCGGGCGUUGGUUGUCCCGGGGAAAGGCGGUAGGUUUGGAUCUUUGGCAAAUCCGGGAUCCUUUAAGACCGAGCACCGAGACGAGCCUUUAUGGCAAAGUCACUGAUACCACGCUUCCAGGAAAAGCUCCUAAGCUUCAGCUCACGAAGACCGUACCGUAAACCGACACAGGUGGGUAGGAUGAGAAUUCUCAGGCGCUUGAGAGAACUCGGGUGAAGGAACUAGGCAACAUGGCACCGUAACUUCGGGAGAAGGUGCACCCUUUUUGGUGGCUCAUGCGAGCUAUAGCUGAAGAGGGUCGCAGAAACCAGGCCGCUGCGACUGUUUAUCAAAAACACAGCACUCUGCAAACACGAAAGUGGACGUAUAGGGUGUGACGCCUGCCCGGUGCUGGAAGGUUAAUUGAUGGGGUCAGCCGCAAGGCGAAGCUCUUGAUCGAAGCCCCAGUAAACGGCGGCCGUAACUAUAACGGUCCUAAGGUAGCGAAAUUCCUUGUCGGGUAAGUUCCGACCUGCACGAAUGGCGUAACGACAGCGGCGCUGUCUCCACCCGAGACUCAGUGAAAUUGAAAUCGCUGUGAAGAUGCAGCGUUCCCGUGGCAAGACGGAAAGACCCCGUGAACCUUUACUAUAGCUUUACACUGAACGUUGAGUUCGUCUGUGUAGGAUAGGUGGGAGGCUAUGAAACUGUGGCGCUAGCUGCAGUGGAGCCAUCCUUGAAAUACCACCCUGUCGUGCUUGACGUUCUAACCUAGAUCCGUUAUCCGGAUCAGGGACCGUGUAUGGUGGGUAGUUUGACUGGGGCGGUCUCCUCCUAAAGAGUAACGGAGGAGCACGAAGGUACGCUCAGCGCGGUCGGACAUCGCGCACUGUGUGCAAAGGCAUAAGCGUGCUUGACUGCAAGAUCGACGGAUCAAGCAGGUACGAAAGUAGGUCUUAGUGAUCCGGUGGUUCUGUAUGGAAGGGCCAUCGCUCAACGGAUAAAAGGUACUCCGGGGAUAACAGGCUGAUACCGCCCAAGAGUUCAUAUCGACGGCGGUGUUUGGCACCUCGAUGUCGGCUCAUCACAUCCUGGGGCUGUAGUCGGUCCCAAGGGUAUGGCUGUUCGCCAUUUAAAGUGGUACGCGAGCUGGGUUCAGAACGUCGUGAGACAGUUCGGUCCCUAUCUGCCAUGGGCGUUGGAAGUUUGAGAGGGGCUGCUCCUAGUACGAGAGGACCGGAGUGGACGAACCUCUGGUGUUCCGGUUGUCACGCCAGUGGCAUUGCCGGGUAGCUAUGUUCGGAAGCGAUAACCGCUGAAAGCAUCUAAGCGGGAAGCGCGCCUCAAGAUGAGACUUCCCGGGGCACAAGCCCCCUAAAGGAACCAUAUAGACUAUGUGGUUGAUAGGUCAGGUGUGUAAGUACAGCAAUGUAUUGAGCUAACUGAUACUAAUGAUCCGUGCGGCUUGACCAUAUAACCU
rnacentral:rRNA from 1 species